rnacentral:rRNA from 1 species
CUGGCGGCGUGCUUAACACAAUGCAAGUCGAAACGCGAAAGGGACUUCGGUCCUGAGUAAAGUGGCGCACGGGUGAGUAACGCGUAGAUAACCUGUCUUCAUGUCUGGAAUAAUACGCCGAAAGGGGUACUAAUACCGGAUAUUCUUGCUUUUCAUAAGUUAUGCAAGCAAAGGUGGCCUCUGCAUAUGCUACUGCAUGAAGAGGGGUCUGCGUACCAUUAGCUAGUAGGUGGGGUAAUGGCCUACCUAGGCGACGAUGGUUAGCGGGUCUGAGAGGAUGAUCCGCCACACUGGCACUGGAACACGGGCCAGACUCCUACGGGAGGCAGCAGUGAGGAAUAUUGCGCAAUGGGGGAAACCCUGACGCAGCGACGCCGCGUGAGUGAAGGAAGGCCUUCGGGUCGUAAAGCUCUGUCAAGAGGAAAGAAGUGUACAAUGGCUAAUACCUGUUGUAUUUGACGGUACCUCUAAAGGAAGCACCGGCUAACUCCGUGCCAGCAGCGGC